rnacentral:tRNA from 1 species
UGAUAAGAAAAGGAAUCUAACCUCUCUAAAUAGGACUACAGCCCACCGCCUAAACACUCGACCAUCUUACC